GGUGAGUAACACGUGGGUAACCUGCCCAUAAGACUGGGAUAACUCCGGGAAACCGGGGCUAAUACCGGAUAAUAUUUUGAACUGCAUGGUUCGAAAUUGAAAGGCGGCUUCGGCUGUCACUUAUGGAUGGACCCACGUCGCAUUAGCUAGUUGGUGAGGUAACGGCUCACCAAGGCAACGAUGCGUAGCCGACCUGAGAGGGUGAUCGGCCACACUGGAACUGAGACACGGUCCAG
rnacentral:rRNA from 1 species